rnacentral:misc_RNA from 1 species
GACAAUAUUGUCGAGAUCAUUUGCUGAAUACUGCAUAAUAGGCUGGGAAAAUCUUCCUCGAACUCUACUUCUCUACUACACGAAUUUUGUGUCGUCUCCAGAGGGUUAUUUCCAAACAGUCAUAUGCAACUCUGAGGAAUACAGGAACACCACAGUGAACCAUGAUCUUCACUACAUUACAUGGGACAUCCCUCCGAAACAACAUCCAAGGUCCCUCGGUCCGAAGGAUUACAGGAGAAUGGUUUUAAGCAACAGGCCAUUUG